AGAGUUUGAUCCUGGCUCAGGAUGAACGCUAGCUACAGGCUUAACACAUGCAAGUCGAGGGGCAGCAUGGUCUUAGCUUGCUAAGGCCGAUGGCGACCGGCGCACGGGUGAGUAACGCGUAUCCAACCUGCCUUACACUCUUGGACAGCCUUCUGAAAGGGAGAUUAAUACAAGAUGUUAUCAUGAGUAAGCAUUUUCGCAUGAUUAAAGGUUUACCGGUGUAAGAUGGGGAUGCGUUCCAUUAGAUAGUAGGCGGGGUAACGGCCCACCUAGUCUUCGAUGGAUAGGGGUUCUGAGAGGAAGGUCCCCCACAUUGGAACUGAGACACGGUCCAAACUCCUACGGGAGGCAGCAGUGAGGAAUAUUGGUCAAUGGGCGGGAGCCUGAACCAGCCAAGUAGCGUGAAGGACGACGGCCCUACGGGUUGUAAACUUCUUUUAUAAGGGAAUAAAGUUCGCCACGUGUGGUGUUUUGUAUGUACCUUAUGAAUAAGCAUCGGCUAAUUCCGUGCCAGCAGCCGCGGUAAUACGGAAGAUGCGAGCGUUAUCCGGAUUUAUUGGGUUUAAAGGGAGCGUAGGCGGGCUUUUAAGUCAGCGGUCAAAUGUCGUGGCUCAACCAUGUCAAGCCGUUGAAACUGUAAGCCUUGAGUCUGCACAGGGCACAUGGAAUUCGUGGUGUAGCGGUGAAAUGCUUAGAUAUCACGAAGAACUCCGAUCGCGAAGGCAUUGUGCCGGGGCAUAACUGACGCUGAGGCUCGAAAGUGCGGGUAUCAAACAGGAUUAGAUACCCUGGUAGUCCGCACGGUAAACGAUGAAUGCUCGCUAUGGGCGAUAUAUUGUCCGUGGCCAAGCGAAAGCGUUAAGCAUUCCACCUGGGGAGUACGCCGGCAACGGUGAAACUCAAAGGAAUUGACGGGGGC
rnacentral:rRNA from 1 species